rnacentral:rRNA from 1 species
ACGGGAGGCAGCAGUGAGGAAUAUUGGUCAAUGGAGGCAACUCUGAACCAGCCAUCUCGCGUGAAGGAAUACGGCCCUAUGGGUCUUAAACUUCUUUUAUAGGGGGAUAAAGUGAGGCAUGCAUGCCUUUUUGUAGGUACCCUAUGAAUAAGCAUCGGCUGACUCCGUGCCAGCAGCCGCGGUAAUACGGAGGAUGCGAGCGUUAUCCGGAUUUACUGGGUGUAAAGGGCGUGUAGGCGGGACAUCAAGUCAGAUGUGAAAGCACGAGGCUCAACUUCGUGUCUGCAUUUGAAACUGACGUUCUUGAGUGUUGGAGAGGCUAACGGAACUCCUAGUGUAGCGGUGAAAUGCGUAGAUAUUAGGAAGAACACCAGUGGCGAAGGCGGUUAGCUGGACAAUAACUGACGCUGAGGCGCGAAAGCGUGGGUAGCAAACAGGAUUAGAUACCCUGGUA